CGAGUUGAUCCAUGUCUCAUAUUGAACGCUGGCGGGAGGGCUAACACAUGCAAGUCGAGCGGAUGAUGGGAGCUUGCUCCCGGAUUCAGCGGCGGACGGGUGAGUAAUGCCUAGGAAUCUGCCUGGUAGUGGGGGACAACGUUUCGAAAGGAACGCUAAUACCGCAUACGUCCUACGGGAGAAAGCAGGGGACCUUCGGGCCUUGCGCUAUCAGAUGAGCCUAGGUCGGAUUAGCUAGUUGGUGGGGUAAAGGCCUACCAAGGCGACGAUCCGUAACUGGUCUGAGAGGAUGAUCAGUCACACUGGAACUGAGACACGGUCCAGACUCCUACGGGAGGCAGCAGUGGGGAAUAUUGGACAAUGGGCGCAAGCCUGAUCCAGCCAUACCGCGUGGGUGAAGAAGGCCUUCGGGUUGUAAAGCCCUUUUGUUGGGAAAGAAAAGCAGUCGGUUAAUACCCGAUUGUUCUGACGGUACCCAAAGAAUAAGCACCGGCUAACUUCGUGCCAGCAGCCGCGGUAAUACGAAGGGUGCAAGCGUCACUCGGGAAUUACUGGGCGUAAAGCGUGCGUAGGUGGUUGGUUUAGUCUGUCGUGAAAGCCCUGGGCUCAACCUGGGA
rnacentral:rRNA from 1 species